UUAAAAAUCGUUAGUAGUUUAGCUUGUGUGAAUGUGAUUGAGUACCAUUAUUGCUUGCUGUUCUAAUUGUUUGAUUUUGUAGUUCAACUCGUAAGCAUAGAUAGAAGCCGGAGAAAGAUUUUUAUUGAGUUUGUUUGGAAUUUGCAUCUGAAUGUACUGAUAGGUUGCGAUUUAGUGUUUUUGGUAGGUGUAGUGCUGGUAUGGAAUAAACAGUUUGUGAUAAUAUAUGGAAUAUAGCUAUAUCAUGAAAAAAUUAGUGUUAUCAUUCUAAAAUCAUAAUUCGUUGCCUAAAACUAGUGUUGAAUGGGUACAGAGAGAAAAAGGAAAGUGUUAUUCGACUUCGUCCACGAAUCAGCGACUGUAGUCUUCGAGCGGCCGACCUUCACCAGCUCACCAGCGGUUCGAGGUGGCUCACCGGAACUGAAGGUGGUAUGAGUGAUGCCCAAACCAGGAAUGAAUAUACGUUUUCUCCCUUCCAUUUUUUCAUUAUAAUAUAUUCAAAUUUGAUUCAGUUAUGAUGAUAUUUCUGCAUUGGUUCUUAUUCGAUACUAUUACUUUGUCAUUUUAAUGCAAAUGGGAGGGAUCUCGUAGAUGUUACAACACGCAGGGCUCUCCAGUGGCGAUUGUCAGAUACUAGGAUCAUGCUCUGUAGCUACUGAUUGUGCUCCUGGUCUGUAUUGUGGGAAUUGUAGGCAAAACUCUGCUGUUUUGCACCACAAAGGUACUGAAAGGGUGCAAUAAUAAAAAAGGAAGGUGUGUUUAUUUCUUAAUCUUCCUUGACCCAUUUCUCUACAAAUCAUAAUUCUCUGCAAAUAUUAUGUUCAUCCACAUUUAAUCAUUGAUUCAAGGUUCUAUUGGAUCCUAACUGUAACAUUAGCAAGAUAAACAUCUUUAUAGUUAAUUGAUCUCUAAAUCAGGACCGGUUAUGCUCCUGACAAUGAUUUUUAAAAUUUUUCUACAACUUAUGUCUACUUAGAUGUUUCCUUCGACGACACCACCACCAUACGUUGCUUUCGCUGGGGUUGUUCCUGCUUUCCAUAACAUACUUUCGCUGCCAAUGCGGCUAUCCCGGUUGAUCACCGGUCACCAAUUCUAAACUUGUGACCCGUUUGCUAUUCGGUGACCCAUUUAGAUAAAACCGGUAACCGACUUGACCCGUAUACAACCCGUAACAUCAAGAUUAAUUCCAACAUGAUGUAGUUUUAGAUUCUAAUUUUGAAACUGAUUGCAUUUGGUGAUUAAUGGAGGUUAGGUUAAUGGUUUGUCGUUUAAUAAGUACAUGUGGCUGGUUACUCAUAAUGCGUUUUCCAUUGUGGAUGCUUCGCUGUCAACUCGUCCUUAAAGGAUCACAUUUUACAAUCAGGAAGAUUCUGUCACCAAUUAGUUAAGAAGUGGAGUUAGAGGAUUGAUGUAGGAUAUAUAUGACUUUGAGAAUGAUAUCUGGUUGUUUCGUACUGCUUUUGUAAUAAUCUUUUCUCCUGUUAUAUCCACAUUAUGUUGUCA